CCUACGGGAGGCAGCAGUGGGGAAUAUUGGACAAUGGGCGAAAGCCUGAUCCAGCCAUGCCGCGUGUGUGAAGAAGGCCUUCGGGUUGUAAAGCACUUUCAGUGGGGAAGAAAGCCUUGGGGCUAAUACCCUCGAGGAAGGACAUCACCCACAGAAGAAGCACCGGCUAACUCCGUGCCAGCAGCCGCGGUAAUACGGAGGGUGCGAGCGUUAAUCGGAAUUACUGGGCGUAAAGCGCGCGUAGGCGGUCUGAUAAGCCGGUUGUGAAAGCCCGGGCUCAACCUGGGAACGGCAUCCGGAACUGUCAGGCUAGAGUGCAGGAGAGGAAGGUAGAAUUCCCGGUGUAGCGGUGAAAUGCGUAGAGAUCGGGAGGAAUACCAGUGGCGAAGGCGGCCUUCUGGACUGACACUGACGCUGAGGUGCGAAAGCGUGGGUAGCAAACAGGAUUAGAUACCCUUGUAGUC
rnacentral:rRNA from 1 species